rnacentral:rRNA from 2 species
UUCUUACACCGAAUGCUUGCAUUCACCGUAAGAAGUUGAGUGGCGGACGGGUGAGUAACACGUGGGUAACCUGCCUAAAAGAAGGGGAUAACACUUGGAAACAGGUGCUAAUACCGUAUAUCUCUAAGGAUCGCAUGAUCCUUAGAUGAAAGAUGGUUCUGCUAUCGCUUUUAGAUGGACCCGCGGCGUAUUAACUAGUUGGUGGGGUAACGGCCUACCAAGGUGAUGAUACGUAGCCGAACUGAGAGGUUGAUCGGCCACAUUGGGACUGAGACACGGCCCAAACUCCUACGGGAGGCAGCAGUAGGGAAUCUUCCACAAUGGACGCAAGUCUGAUGGAGCAACGCCGCGUGAGUGAAGAAGGUCUUCGGAUCGGUAAAACUCUGGUGUUAGAGAAGAACACGAGUGAGAGUAACUGUUCAUUCGAUGACGGUAUCUAACCAGCAAGUCACGGCUAACUACGUGCCAGCAGCCGCGGUAAUACGUAGGUGGCAAGCGUUGUCCGGAUUUAUUGGGCGUAAAGGGAACGCAGGCGGUCUUUUAAGUCUGAUGUGAAAGCCUUCGGCUUAACCGGAGUAGUGCAUUGGAAACUGGAAGACUUGAGUGCAGAAGAGGAGAGUGGAACUCCAUGUGUAGCGGUGAAAUGCGUAGAUAUAUGGAAGAACACCAGUGGCGAAAGCGGCUCUCUGGUCUGUAACUGACGCUGAGGUUCGAAAGCGUGGGUAGCAAACAGGAUUAGAUACCCUGGUAGUCCACGCCGUAAACGAUGAAUGCUAGGUGUUGGAGGGUUUCCGCCCUUCAGUGCCGCAGCUAACGCAAUAAGCAUUCCGCCUGGGGAGUACGACCGCAAGGUUGAAACUCAAAGGAAUUGACGGGGGCCCGCACAAGCGGUGGAGCAUGUGGUUUAAUUCGAAGCAACGCGAAAGAACCUUACCAGGUCUUGACAUCCUUUGACCACCUAAGAGAUUAGGCUUUCCCCUCCGGGGACAAAGUGACAAGGUGGUGCAAUGGCUGUCGUCCAGCUCGUGUCGUGAGAUGUUGGGUUAAGUCCCGCAACGAGCGCAACCCUUGUUGUCAGUUGCCAGCAUUAAGUUGGGCACUCUGGCGAGACUGCCGGUGACAAACCGGAGGAAGGUGGGGACGACGUCAAGUCAUCAUGCCCCUUAUGACCUGGGCUACACACGUGCUACAAUGGACGGUACAACGAGUCGCAAGACCGCGAGGUUUAGCUAAUCUCUUAAAGCCGUUCUCAGUUCGGAUUGUAGGCUGCAACUCGCCUACAUGAAGUCGGAAUCGCUAGUAAUCGCGAAUCAGCAUGUCGCGGUGAAUACGUUCCCGGGCCUUGUACACACCGCCCGUCACACCAUGAGAGUUUGUAACACCCAAAGCCGGUGGGGUA